rnacentral:miRNA from 1 species
UAGGGUGGGGGAAGAUGGGAC